UAAUGCUCCAUAGUGGAUAUAUACUGGAAUGUUAUAUCCUCGAAAGAUCCGUCGCCCAAGGAUGAGUCUAUGUCCGAUUAGGUAGUUGGCGGGGUAACGGCCCACCAAGCCUUUGAUCGGUACGGGUUGUGGGAGCAAGAUCCCGGAGAUGGAUUCUGAGACAUGAAUCCAGGCCCUACGGGGCGCAGCAGGCGCGCAAACUUUACAAUGCGAGCAAUCGUGAUAAGGAAACCCUGAGUGCCUGUCGAUGCAGGCUGUUCAUAUAUCUAAAUCAUAUGUGAAGAAAGGGCAGGGCAAGACCGGUGCCAGCCGCCGCGGUAAUACCGGCUGCUCGAGUGAUGGCCACUAUUACUGGGUUUAAAGCGUCCGUAGCUUGAUUGUUAGGUCUCUUGGGAAAUCUUCACGCUCAACGUGAAGGCGUCCAAGAGAUACCGGCAAUCUUGGAACUGGGAGAGGUAAACCGUACUUCGGGGGUAGGAGUGAAAUCUUGUAAUCCUCGAGGGACGACCUAUGGCGAAGGCAGUUUACCAGAACAGCUUCGACAGUGAGGGACGAAAGCUGGGGGAGCAAACGGGAUUAGAUACCCCGGUAGUCCCAGCCGUAAACAAUGUGCGUUAGGUAU
rnacentral:rRNA from 1 species